rnacentral:rRNA from 1 species
AUACGGAGGGUGCAAGCGUUAAUCGGAAUUACUGGGCGUAAAGCGCGCGUAGGUGGUUAGUUAAGUUGGAUGUGAAAGCCCUGGGCUCAACCUGGGAAUGGCAUUCAAAACUGGCUGACUAGAGUAUGGUAGAGGGAAGGGGAAUUCCAGGUGUAGCGGUGAAAUGCGUAGAUAUCUGGAGGAACAUCAGUGGCGAAGGCGCCUUCCUGGACUAAUACUGACACUGAGGUGCGAAAGCGUGGGUAGCAAACAGGAUUAGAAACCCUAGUAGUCC